GAGUCAGUAGGUUGGUCGUGCCACCGGUACGUACUGGUCUCACUGAUUCCUCCUUCCUGAAGAACCGUAAUGCCAUUAAUUUGGUGUUGCGGGGAAACAGGACUGUUACUUUGAAAAAAUUAUAGUGUUUAACGCAAGCUAACGCUUGAAUACAUUAGCAUGGAAUAAUGAAAUAGGACGAUCGAUCCUAUUUUGUUGGGUUCUAGGAUUGACGUA
rnacentral:rRNA from 1 species